rnacentral:misc_RNA from 1 species
GCGCGUUGGCGUAUUGCCAGCACAGGAUCGCCGUGACCAAGCCGAGUCUCCGUCUCUUACUGGCGGUGCGCUCCACACUGACCGCGUUACGGCGACACCGCUGAAGCAAAAGCGGAACGUGACUCUUCUCAAGCAGCUCCGUAAGAAAAUAUCCACUGAUCCGAGACGCUCGUCGCGGGCUCCAGCCGGCGGAUCGCCCGACACAGCCCGAAAGUGACCUGGUCGCUCUCACUGCACUGAAGGCUGCCGUGGACACAGGACUUCAGCAUGCUGAUCGCGCUUCUCGUCUGUAUGCUGGCGCUGGUAGCUUUCGUGGUCAUACGCAGAGGCAAAGAGAAAAACCACCCGCCAGGUCCUGGUGGGCUGCCAUUUAUCGGCCAAGUGUUUUCAAUCAACUGGAAGCACCAGGAUUUCGCCUUCAUGAAAUGGUACAAGCAGUACGGGCCCAUCUACAAGGUCCGCGCGGGCCCAGAGACCAUUGUUGUUCUAUCCGACCCCGAGUUGAUCAGGGAGGCCUUUAACAAGCCCGCGACCCAGGGCCGGCAGAGCAACGCAGCGUUCACGCUGCUUUAUGCCGACAAGGGCAUCAUCUUCACCAGUGGGGAACUGUGGCAUCAGACACGUCGCUUUACCUUGUUCCAUCUGAGGAAUUUCGGCAUGGGCAAGUCUAGACUGGAGGCUGUUAUCCAUGAGCAGAUCGAUGGCUUCAUGAAUGUCGUUCUGGCCCCCAGCGAGGGACGGGCGUUGUCGCUCAACAGGGCCCUGGACAUCUCUGUCGCUAACAUUAUCUGGGGCAUCGUAGCCGGGGAGAGCCUUGGCAUUGAAGACGAAAGGAUUCUGGAGGUCAUGGACAACGUUAGAAAGCUCAACGAGGUCGGCUUCCGCAUUCUUCUCCUCGGAACGAUUCCCGCUCUCUUGAACCUGCCAGACCGCCUGACGGGACUCAACGAAGUGCUCAAGUGCUUCCACUACCCGAUCAACAACCUUCUCCAACCAGCCAUCAACCUGCACAAAAAAUCUGUGGAUCUUGGCGGCGAACCGCGCGACUACAUCGACUGCUUCUUACAAGAACAGAGCAAGCACCCAACCCUUUACACCGAGCGCCACUUGUUACGCAGCCUCAUCGACUUGUUCUUCGCCGGUUUCGACACGACCUCCACGACGCUCCGCUGGGCCUUCUGCUUCCUUUGCGCGCGGCCUGACGUGCAGGAGCGCCUGGCGGCCGAGCUUCACCAGGUGGUGGGCAGGGAGCGCGCGCCCACGCUCGCCGACCGGCCGCACCUGCCGUUCACCGAGGCCGUGCUGAUGGAGACGCAGCGGCUGGCCAACAUCGCACCCAUUGGCGUACCGCACGUGAGCACGGCCGAGUUCCAGCUGGGUGGCUACACCGUGCCGCGUGGUGCGCAGGUGAUCUCGCUGCUCACGGCUGUCCACCAUAACGAGGCGUACUUUCCGGAGCCGGCGCGGUUUCUACCGGAGCGCUUCCUGGAUGCCGAAGGGAAGGUGAAACCGAACAAGGCGCUCAUGCCUUUCUCCGUGGGCAAGCGAUCCUGCAUGGGCGAGGCGAUGGCGCGCGCCGAGCUUUUCCUCUUCGUCACAACCGUCGUGCAAAAGUUCCGCCUGCGCUUCCCCGACGGCUUUACACACGACUUCUCCAUCAAUGAGGAGAGGGCAUUUGUCAAUGAGCCGUUGCCAUACUCUCUCAUUCCAGAGAGGCGUUAGGUUGGUGUACCGGUCGUCUGGUGGAGGGUCGCUUCUGGCUAGCCGCCUUUUGGUGCAGACCACUGACAUUGCAUAACUUUAAACGUGUCAUUUUGUCAGCGGCUCGGCACUUGGGUUGGGUAGGUUAAUUGGGAUCGAUCAUCCCGCUGAGGACCUGCAAUUCAUGCGGGGAUGGUUGCCCGCCAUAGUUUCCAUAGGGGAACACAUUGUUUCCCGCGAUCAGGUUCGUGGUGGGCCUAGAUUGUGUCAAUGUAUUCACGUUUUCCAAGCUACUGCACAUCAAGUAGGUCGCAUGAUGGGUCAGAGGCCGUGCUAUGAUCCAGAUCUAACAAGUAGGCUGUGCUUUGCUUAUUGCUGAGCCUCUCCAGGCUGACCUAAUCAUGAUCCAGGUCAGAACAGCUGCCCCUCAGCGCACCGUAUGUACAAGGUUGUCCAGAAGAUCGGUCCCUCGUCUUCGCCAGACUGCGUGCUAUUUUAAUUUCCGACGCCGUCGAUGUUUGUUGUUGCCAGCUUACACCUGUGUCGAGGUUUGUUGUUGCCAGCUUACACCUGUGCUAUAAUGUAUACUUUCUAGAUACAUUUGCUGGUACAAAAGAUACACGGACAGCGUCAAAGAUAUUGGACCAACUUCAGCCCUUGUACAUCAUGUUUUUGAAUUGCAUGAACUUAAUUUUUAAUAUCAGCGUGCAAUUUUUGUCGCAAGGUUCCACGUUUUGCGGUCACGUAAAUGUUUAGCUGUAAGUUUCGUCGGACGGAAUAGGCAGUUUGCAUAUUUUUCCCGUGUAUAUUAUGCGUAGUUAUCGUAAUCUAUAUACAGUGGAGAAGAAGUAGUAGUGGAGGUAGUACAAGUAGAAGUAGCACUAGUAGAAGAUAAGCAUAUAUAUAUAUAUAUAUAUAUAUAUGUAUAUAUGUCUACGUAAUUGUUCUAACGGAUAUACAGUGUGUCAGGGGCAGUAGUAGUAGUAGUAGCAGUAGUAGUAGGCAUACCAUAUAUGUAUGUAACAUGCGUGUGCAUCUGCUUAUAAAAGUCUAGUGAGUCCAGCAUUUCUAGACGAAUAAAUUGGAGCUAAGGAAACUUGCCUUUUCUUCGAGGCUGUUUGUCAAUGUUUUUGCCGGGAUGAACUAUUGCUAAUGUGUAAAUCUGCGAGCAUAAUACGCAAGCGGCGGCAUAUCCAAUUUGUGCAUGGUAAAGAU